ACCCAGCUGACGACUCCCAAAUAGGACGAAAUGUGCGUAAUCCUGGAU
rnacentral:hammerhead_ribozyme from 1 species